CCUACGGGAGGCAGCAGUGGGGAAUAUUGGGCAAUGGAGGAAACUCUGACCCAGCGACGCCGCGUGAGGGAUGAAGGCCUUCGGGUUGUAAACCUCUUUCAGUAGGGAAGAAGCGAAAGUGACGGUACCUACAGAAGAAGCACCGGCUAACUAUGUGCCAGCAGCCGCGGUGAUACAUAGGGUGCAAGCGUUGUCCGGAAUUAUUGGGCGUAAAGAGCUCGUAGGUGGUUCGAUACGUCGGAUGUGAAAAUCAGGGGCUCAACCCCUGACCUGCAUCCGAUACGGUCGAGCUAGAGUUUGGUAGGGGAGACUGGAAUUCCUGGUGUAGCGGUGGAAUGCGCAGAUAUCAGGAGGAACACCGAUGGCGAAGGCAGGUCUCUGGGCCAAUACUGACACUGAGGAGCGAAAGCGUGGGGAGCGAACAGGAUUAGAUACCCUGGUAGUCCACGCCGUAAACGGUGGGCGCUAGUUGUGCGAACCUUCCACGGUUUGUGCGACGCAGCUAACGCAUUAAGNGCCCCGCCUGGGGAGUACGAUCGCAAGNUAAAACUCAAAUGAAUUGACGG
rnacentral:rRNA from 1 species